UACGGGGGGGGCAAGCGUUGUUCGGAAUUACUGGGCGUAAAGGCUGGUAGGCGGCCAACUAAGUCGGAUGUGAAAUCCCCAGGCUUAACCUGGGAACUGCAUCCGAUACUGGUCGGCUUGAAUCCGGGAGAGGGAUGCAGAAUUCCAGGUGUAGCGGUGAAAUGCGUAGAUAUCUGGAGGAAUACCGGUGGCGAAGGCGGCAUCCUGGACCGGCAUUGACGCUGAACAGCGAAAGCAGGGGAGCAAACGGG
rnacentral:rRNA from 1 species